rnacentral:rRNA from 1 species
GAAUGCUGACAUAAGUAACGAUAAAGCGGGUGAAAAGCCCGCUCGCCGGAAGACCAAGGGUUCCUGUCCAACGUUAAUCGGGGCAGGGUGAGUCGACCCCUAAGGCGAGGCCGAAAGGCGUAGUCGAUGGGAAACAGGUUAAUAUUCCUGUACUUGGUGUUACUGCGAAGGGGGGACGGAGAAGGCUAUGUUGGCCGGGCGACGGUUGUCCCGGUUUAAGCGUGUAGGCUGGUUUUCCAGGCAAAUCCGGAAAAUCAAGGCUGAGGCGUGAUGACGAGGCACUACGGUGCUGAAGCGACAAAUGCCCUGCUUCCAGGAAAAGCCUCUAAGCAUCAGGUAACAUCAAAUCGUACCCCAAACCGACACAGGUGGUCAGGUAGAGAAUACCAAGGCGCUUGAGAGAACUCGGGUGAAGGAACUAGGCAAAAUGGUGCCGUAACUUCGGGAGAAGGCACGCUGAUAUGUAGGUGAAGCGACUUGCUCGUGGAGCUGAAAUCAGUCGAAGAUACCAGCUGGCUGCAACUGUUUAUUAAAAACACAGCACUGUGCAAACACGAAAGUGGACGUAUACGGUGUGACGCCUGCCCGGUGCCGGAAGGUUAAUUGAUGGGGUUAGCGGUAACGCGAAGCUCUUGAUCGAAGCCCCGGUAAACGGCGGCCGUAACUAUAACGGUCCUAAGGUAGCGAAAUUCCUUGUCGGGUAAGUUCCGACCUGCACGAAUGGCGUAAUGAUGGCCAGGCUGUCUCCACCCGAGACUCAGUGAAAUUGAACUCGCUGUGAAGAUGCAGUGUACCCGCGGCAAGACGGAAAGACCCCGUGAACCUUUACUAUAGCUUGACACUGAACAUUGAGCCUUGAUGUGUAGGAUAGGUGGGAGGCUUUGAAGUGUGGACGCCAGUCUGCAUGGAGCCGACCUUGAAAUACCACCCUUUAAUGUUUGAUGUUCUAACGUGGGCCCCUUACCGGGGUUGCGGACAGUGUCUGGUGGGUAGUUUGACUGGGGCGGUCUCCUCCUAAAGAGUAACGGAGGAGCACGAAGGUUGGCUAAUCCUGGUCGGACAUCAGGAGGUUAGUGCAAUGGCAUAAGCCAGCUUGACUGCGAGCGUGACGGCGCGAGCAGGUGCGAAAGCAGGUCAUAGUGAUCCGGUGGUUCUGAAUGGAAGGGCCAUCGCUCAACGGAUAAAAGGUACUCCGGGGAUAACAGGCUGAUACCGCCCAAGAGUUCAUAUCGACGGCGGUGUUUGGCACCUCGAUGUCGGCUCAUCACAUCCUGGGGCUGAAGUAGGUCCCAAGGGUAUGGCUGUUCGCCAUUUAAAGUGGUACGCGAGCUGGGUUUAGAACGUCGUGAGACAGUUCGGUCCCUAUCUGCCGUGGGCGCUGGAGAACUGAGGGGGGCUGCUCCUAGUACGAGAGGACCGGAGUGGACGCAUCACUGGUGUUCGGGUUGUCAUGCCAAUGGCACUGCCCGGUAGCUAAAUGCGGAAGAGAUAAGUGCUGAAAGCAUCUAAGCACGAAACUUGCCCCGAGAUGAGUUCUCCCUGACUCCUUGAGAGUCCUGAAGGAACGUUGAAGACGACGACGUUGAUAGGCCGGGUGUGUAAGCGCAGCGAUGCGUUGAGCUAACCGGUA